AGGGGUGUAGCUCAAUUGGUAGAGUAGCGGACUCCAAAUCCGUUGGUUGCGGGUUCGAUCCCUGCCACCCCUG
rnacentral:tRNA from 1 species